GAUGGACUGGCACAGACGUUGCUGUAACAUAAUUUGCUGUUCGCCAUGGGGAGGAGGCGGCAAGGAGGUCCAUGGGCUCUAACCUGGGACUAGAGGUCCAGGUGAAGUGGUUUGGCUGGGGUGUGGUGAUAUUGAACCCAUUGAGACUAUACAGUACAUUUCACUUUAUGUCUAUUGAUGGACUGUUACACCUACCCUUUACUUAUGCCAAACCCAUUUCUGUUCUUUAAAUAUCAGAAAGCAAACUUACUGUUGAUGGCACUGAACUUGCACUUGGAAAUGUUUAUGGAACUGUUCUGAACUGUGAAUUACAUUAAAACUCAUGCCAAACCAA